CCCAAUAAAACUUUUCCUAGACUGGGAAGCAAAAGUCACCUUUGGUUACCUGAGUGGACAG
rfam:Tupaia chinensis contig114114, whole genome shotgun sequence.